rnacentral:rRNA from 1 species
UACGUAGGGUGCAAGCGUUGUCCGGAAUUAUUGGGCGUAAAGAGCUCGUAGGUGGCCUGUCGCGUCGGCUGUGAAAACUCGGGGCUCAACUCCGAGCUUGCAGUCGAUACGGGCAGGCUAGAGUUCGGCAGGGGAGACUGGAAUUCUCGGUGUAGCGGUGAAAUGCGUAGAUAUCGAGAGGAACACCUGCGGCGAAGGCGGGUAGCUGGGCCGACACUGACGCUGAGGCGCGAAAGCCAGGGGAGCGAACGGG